rnacentral:tRNA from 1 species
AAAGGGAGACCUAAUUCGGGUAUAAGACGAAAAAAUAGUAGUCGAAACCAAGAAUCAAUCCCAAAAGGUCGGAACGAGGUAUGUGGCUUUCAAACUAGGUUCUGGGUUCAUAAAAGACCUGAAUCAGGAACAAGGGCUAUUAGCUCAGGUGGUUAGAGCGCACCCCUGAUAAGGGUGAGGUCCCUGGUUCGAGUCCAGGAUGGCCCACCUGCACAGGUGGCAAAAACAAAGAAAAGAAGCUCCGAAUCAGCACCUUAUCUUACUCAUAUAGUAAGAGAGAAUGCUGGCUCUGAGUACAGAGUCCAGAGGAACCUUGAAAACUGCAUAGAGCUAGGUGAAAAAGCCAAAAAAGAAGACCGCAAG